GACGAACGCUGGCGGCGUGCUUAACACAUGCAAGUCGAACGGAAAGGCCCUGCUUGCAGGGUACUCGAGUGGCGAACGGGUGAGUAACACGUGGGUGAUCUGCCCUGCACUUCGGGAUAAGCCUGGGAAACUGGGUCUAAUACCGGAUAGGAGCCAUUUUUAGUGUGAUGGUUGGAAAGUUUUUUCGGUGUAGGAUGAGCUCGCGGCCUAUCAGCUUGUUGGUGGGGUAAUGGCCUACCAAGGCGGCGACGGGUAGCCGGCCUGGGAGGGUGGACGGCCACAUUGGGACUGAGAGACGGCCCAGACGCCGACGGGAGGCAGAAGGGGGGAAUAUUGCACAAUGGGCGCAAGCCUGAUGCAGCGACGCCGCGUGGGGGAUGACGGCCUUCGGGUUGUAAAAUACUUUCGCUAGGGACGAAGCUUUUUGUGACGGUACCUAGAUAAGAAGCACCGGCUAACUACGUG
rnacentral:rRNA from 1 species